UGAAGAAAGAAGUCAUGAGGGCUGCAGGUGACGUACCCGACAUCAGAUCUCCUCCUGCGCUUGCUGCGGCCGGGGCGGCUGGUUUGGCCUCACCAGCACCCGCAGAUUCUGAUCCAUCCACGCAGCAUGAGGGUAAAAAAAGAACUGAACUCCAAUGUUCAAAGACUAUUGCCCUAGCAACACAGAUAGCAAUCUCCACGGCAACACCGAUGCCAAUUCAGAACACUCAAGACUGACCAGAGGAGGCAGAGCCUGCAGAGGAGGCUCUAUGUGCUUCUUAAAAUCGAAUGUGGCACAGCCUUUUCUCCCAGAAAAAUCUUCUUAAGGAAGAAACCUCACUACUGACCUCCGAGGAGAUCCGCUGAGCCGGAGGAAGCACCGGCAGCGGAAGGGGGAGGAGCCAAAGAAACGGCUGCCUCAGCGGCUGUGGUGGUGGGCGUGGCUGAGGAGUUGGAGUCUACGGCAAGGGUUGGGUCAGGAAGGAGAGUCUCUGUGACUGUACCUCCCCAAGAUGUGGGAGCAGCUGAUGCUCCUCCUGCAGAAGGUCCAGAGGAAGACAACGGGUCCAGAUCCAGAAGAGAACUACAG